GGGGACGUAGCUCAGUUGGGAGAGUAUCGCGUUCGCAAUGCGAAGGUCGGGGGUUCGAAUCCCCUCGUCUCCACCA
rnacentral:tRNA from 1 species